rnacentral:rRNA from 1 species
UAGGGAAUCUUCGGCAAUGGGGGGAACCCUGACCGAGCAACGCCGCGUGAGGGAAGAAGGUUUUCGGAUCGUAAAGCCCUGUUGUUAAGGAAGAACGAGUGUGAGAAUGGAAAGUUCAUACUGUGACGGUACUUAACCAGAAAGGGACGGCUAACUACGUGCCAGCAGCCGCGGUAAUACGCAGGUCCCGAGCGUUGUCCGGAUUUAUUGGGCGUAAAGCGAGCGCAGGCGGUUAGAUAAGUCUGAAGUUAAAGGCAGUGGCUCAACCAUUGUAGGCUUUGGAAACUGUUUAACUUGAGUGCAGAAGGGGAGAGUGGAAUUCCAUGUGUAGCGGUGAAAUGCGUAGAUAUAUGGAGGAACCCCGGUGGCGAAAGCGGCUCUCUGGUCUGUAAAUGACGAUGAGGCUAGAAAGCGUGGGGAGCGAACAGG